GGAGCUGAAAUCAGUCGAAGAUACCAGCUGGCUGCAACUGUUUAUUAAAAACACAGCACUGUGCAAACACGAAAGUGGACGUAUACGGUGUGACGCCUGCCCGGUGCCGGAAGGUUAAUUGAUGGGGUUAUCCUCACGGAGAAGCUCUUGAUCGAAGCCCCGGUAAACGGCGGCCGUAACUAUAACGGUCCUAAGGUAGCGAAAUUCCUUGUCGGGUAAGUUCCGACCUGCACGAAUGGCGUAAUGAUGGCCAGGCUGUCUCCACCCGAGACUCAGUGAAAUUGAACUCGCUGUGAAGAUGCAGUGUACCCGCGGCAAGACGGAAAGACCCCGUGAACCUUUACUAUAGCUUGACACUGAACACUGGUCCUUGAUGUGUAGGAUAGGUGGGAGGCUUUGAAGUGUGGACGCCAGUCUGCAUGGAGCCAUCCUUGAAAUACCACCCUUUAAUGGCUGGUGUUCUAACGUGGGCCCCUAAUCGGGGUUGCGGACAGUGUCUGGUGGGUAGUUUGACUGGGGCGGUCUCCUCCUAAAGAGUAACGGAGGAGCACGAAGGUCAGCUAAUCCUGGUCGGACAUCAGGAGGUUAGUGCAAUGGCAUAAGCUGGCUUGACUGCGAGCGUGACGGCGCGAGCAGGUGCGAAAGCAGGUCAUAGUGAUCCGGUGGUUCUGAAUGGAAGGGCCAUCGCUCAACGGAUAAAAGGUACUCCGGGGAUAACAGGCUGAUACCGCCCAAGAGUUCAUAUCGACGGCGGUGUUUGGCACCUCGAUGUCGGCUCAUCACAUCCUGGGGCUGAAGUAGGUCCCAAGGGUAUGGCUGUUCGCCAUUUAAAGUGGUACGCGAGCUGGGUUUAGAACGUCGUGAGACAGUUCGGUCCCUAUCUGCCGUGGGCGCUGGAGAAUUGAGGGGGGCUGCUCCUAGUACGAGAGGACCGGAGUGGACGCAUCACUGGUGUUCGGGUUGUCAUGCCAAUGGCAUUGCCCGGUAGCUAAAUGCGGAAGAGAUAAGUGCUGAAAGCAUCUAAGCACGAAACUUGCCCCGAGAUGAGUUCUCCCUGACUCCUUGAGAGUCCUGAAGGAACGUUGAAGACGACGACGUUGAUAGGCCGGGUGUGUAAGCGCAGCGAUGCGUUGAGCUAACCGGUACUAAUGAACCGUGAGGCUUAACCUU
rnacentral:rRNA from 1 species